UUAAUAUGUCAGUUGUUAGUAUCAAUGUUGUCAACAGUGUCGGUUUAUUUUCGUAUUUAUUGCAUUGUUUAAAUUUAUCGGCAGUAAACUGUUGUUAUUGUGGCAAACGAUGAACAGGACGAUCCGAAGUGGCACCCGCCAGGUUAUUUGUAAAGUUUACAGGCGUUGACUGGCAGAAUUUGAAGCCAAAACCUUGUUGUCGGAACUGGACAAUGUUUACCAAAGAACGGCAAAGAUGACAGGUAAAUCUGUUACUACUGUAAGGAGAAUUGUAUUAGAAGGUGACCUUAACAAUGCUGUGUUUGCAACGCCUGGAAAACGCCGGAAGGGGCGUCCAAAAAAGGAACUGGACAAUUUCGACCUGGUGCCAUUAGGCAAAAGGUGCCAACUCUAAGAAGUCCGCUUCCAAUAGUGAAAGAAAACCUGGGCUUUGAUGGUAGCCGGGAACACCUGAGAAAAGUACUUCAUGCUCUUGGGUUCAGAUCUUGCUGCAUCACGAUGACGCCUCUUCACAUACGCCCCUCAGAACAAAGGCGUUUAUUGAGAAAGCUGGGAUAGAAACCUUACCAUAUCCACCCUGCAGUCAUGGCUUAGCUCCCUGCAAUUUCUUAUUGUUCCCGAUGGUGAAAGAAAAAAUAAAAGGGAAGUUUUUUUCGAGUGCUGAAGAAGCCGUGGCUGCAUAUGAA